rnacentral:rRNA from 1 species
CACGCAGCUGCACGCUGUCGUCGACGAUUACCGUUUGAUCCUGGCUCAGACGAACCCUGGGGGAGCUUAUCACAUGCAAGCGAACGGGAUGAUUUAGAAGUAGUAUUAGAGAAUCUAGUGGCAAACGGGUGAGUAACACGUACACCACCUGCCGACAGGAUGGGGACAACAUUCCGAAAGCUAUGCUAAUACCGACUGCCGCGGAGGAGAGGCAUCUCUCUUCCGUGAAAGAUGGCCUCUGAACAUGCUAUCACCUGUCGGUGGGUCUGCGUCUGAUUAGCUGCUUGGUGAGGUAACGGCUCACCAAGGCGACGAUCAGUAGCUGGUCUGAGAGGAUGAACGGCCACCUUGGGACUGAGACACGGCCCAGACUCCUACGGGAGGCAGCAGUGGGGAAUCUUCCGCAAUGGGCGCAAGCCUGACGGAGCAACGCCGCGUGAGUGAAGAAGGUCUUCGGAUCGUAAAGCUCUGUUGAUGGGGACGAACGUGCUACGGGUGCAUAAUCCUUUGCCAUGACGGUACCUAUCGAGGAACCCCCGGCUAACUACGUGCCAGCAGCCGCGGUAAUACGUAGGUGGCGAGCGUUGUCCGGAAUCAUUGGGCGUACAGGGAGCGCAGGCGGGCACGUACCUCUUUUCUUAAAAGUGCGGGGCUUCUCCCCGUGAUGGGAAAGAACCUAUAUGUCUUUGAGUACAGGAGAGGA